rnacentral:rRNA from 1 species
AUGACCCCAGGUCAAGUAGGAUUACCUAAUGAAUUUAAGCAUAUCAAUAUGCAGAGAAAAAGAAACUUACCGAGAUUCCCCUAGUAACAACAAGCAAACUAGAAAGAGCUCAGCUUGAGAAUCGGUGCCUAUGGCAUCUAAAUUGUAGUUUACAAAAGUGUCCUCAAUGGUGGACCAAGCCCAAGUCCCUAGGAAAAGGGAACCAGAGAGGUUGAGAGUCUUAUUGUGCCUAGACCUUAUCAAACCAUCCAAGGCUGAAUAUGGGCGAGAAACUAAUAAAGAACCUGUAUCACGAGGGAAAGAUGAAAAAAUCUUUGAAAAAAGAGUCAAAGAGUUCUUAAAAUUAUCAAGAAAGAAGUGAAAUGGGGGCCAAUGAUGCAUCUUAGUUAAAUGUGGAACAACGAUAGCCGAUCCAUUGAUCGGCUAGGGCAUGGACCAUUGUGGGUUGUGGCAGUGGCCCAAACCCAAGCUUUCAAUAUGCCUAUGGAGACAUUGUUACCAUGAUUAUAAAAUACAGCACAUGCCAUCUCGACAUGCCUUGACACUCAUGUACUCCUGACAUAGGCCUAUAGGUUCCUUAUCUGGCCCAUCUUGAAACAUGGACAAGGAUAACAUGUGUGUGAGUCAAUGGGGUAGAAAACCUAUAAAACACAAGGAAGCUAAUUGGUGGGAUCCUCAUGAGUGAGCUACUGAUCGACCUUGAUCUUCUAAGAAGGGUUUAAGUGUGAGCAUGCCUAUAAAGACCUAAAAGAUAAGGAACUAUGCCUGAGUGGGACAAUGCCAAAAAAAACUAUGGUGGAGGCUCACAAUAAUACUAGCAUGUAAAUUGUUCAUCUAACUUAGGUAUAGGGGUGAAAGACUAAUCAAACUGUUUAAUAGCCAGUUCCCUUUAAAGUUUUCCUUAGGAUAGUUGGAGCCCUUAGUGAAUUCCAUCAAGUAAAGCUAAUGAUUAGAGGCAUCGGGGCCAUAACACCCUCGACCUAUCUUAAACUUUAAAUAGGUAGGAUGGUGUGACUUCAUUAAUCCAUGCCACGAAAUUGAGAGCUCCAAGUGGGCUAUUUUUGUAAGCAAAAUUGGUGAUGCAGAAUGAACCAGAAGCCAAGUUAUGGUGCCCAACUUUGCACUAACCUAGAACCCAUAAAGUGUGUUGGUCGAUUAAGAUAGUAGAACAGUGGUCAUGAAAGUUGAAAUUUGCUAAAAAGUGUGUAACAACUCACCUACCAAGUCAACUAGCCCUGAAAAUGGAUGACGCUUAAGCACACGACCUAUACUCGACUAUCAGGGUAAGGGCCAAGCCCAAUGAGUAAGAAAGCACAUGGUUGAUGUAAAACUUAAGGCAUGAGCUCAGGUGGAGCAACGAUCAGUGUAGAUCUUGGCAUUAGUAGUAAAUAUUCAAAUGAAAACUUUAAAGGCCAAAGAGAGGAAAGGUUCCAUGUGAAUGGCACUUGCAUAUAGGUUAGUUGAUCCUAAGAGAUGGGGGAAGAUAGUCUAAUAGUGCAUCCAGCACAAGCUUUGAAAGGGAAUAAAGUUAAAAUUCUUAAAUUGAGAUACAGUGAUUAAUGGCAAUAUUAAAGAAUCUAGAGACAUUGGUGGGUCUUCGAAAAGAGUUAUCUUUUCUAUUUCAUGGCCUCCCUACCCUGGAAAUGACACAAUUGUAGGUAGGGUCUAGUAGCUAGAUGAGUAACGUAUGUUGCUUAGUGUUUGGUGCCCCCUGGCAACCCUUGAAAAUUUAGAGCAUCGAGUGCCAUCCAUGUCCAAUCAUACUCAUAACCACAUCAGGUCUUAAGGUAAACAACCAUUGGUCAAUAGAACAAUGUAUGCAAUGAAAGUUGGCAAAAUGGAUUCGUAACCUCAAGAAAAGGAUCAGCUCUGAAGGUUGUGCAUGAGGGUCCUAUUCCUGAACCCAUCAGCUAUCAAUGCACUAUUGAGCUAUUUCCAUGGCAAGAGUAAGUCACCAUGUGUCGAUCGGGAGCCUUCCCCAAACAAUGAAUAGUCAACUUUGAACUUGUAUGGACUAAGGGAAUCUGACUAUUUAAUUAAAACAAAACAUUGUGUUAGUCCUUACAGAUGCUCACACAAUGUGAUUUUUGCCCAAUGCUUUAAAUGUCAAAGUGAAAAAAUUCAAUCGUGUAGGUAAACUGUGGGAGUAACUAUGACUCUCUUAAGGUAACCAAAUGCCUUGUCAUCUAAUUAUUGAUGCGCAUGAAAGGAUUAAUGAGAUUCCCACUAUCCCUGUCUAUUAUCUAGCAAAACUACACCCAAGGGAAUGGGUUUGGCAGAAUCAGCAAAGAAAGAAGACCCAACUGAGCUUAACUCUAGUCUGACAUUGUGAAAUGACUUGAGAGGUGUAGGAUAAGUGGGAGCCCUCAGGUGAAAUUGAAAUACCACUACUUUUAAUGCUACUUUACUUAUUUUGUAAAUCAAAGGUAGGACAUGACCCUUUCUUUUUAUGAAAGAUGAACAAUUGUGAAAGCAUUUACCAAGGAUGUUUUCAUUAAUCAAGAAUGAAAGUUGCAAGCUUGAAGAUGAUCAAAUAUCAUCCUAGUCUUAACCAUAAAUGAUGUCAACAAGGAUCGAUGGAUGUUACUUUUAGGACUCCAUCGACACCUUAUGAGAAAUCAAAGUCUUUGGGUUCUGGGGGAAGCAUGGUUACAAGGCUAAAACUUAAAGGAAUUGAUGGAAAGGCACCACCAAGAGUGCAACCUAUGGCUUAAUUUGACUCAAUACAGGGAAACUUACUAGGUCUAGACAUAGUAAAGAUUGAUAAACUGAGAGCUCUCUCUUGAUUCUAUGGGAGGUGGUGCAUGGUAGUUCUUAGUUGGUGGAUUGAUUUUUCUAGUUAAAUCCAUUAACGAACAAGACCUCAGCUUGUUA